AAGCUUUGGAUUUUCAACCAAUAGGGUUUAUGUAUAAAAGGGGUUUAAUGCAUAUAUAAGCUAUCCCAUAAUUUUUGGUUAAUUAUUUGGAGUUGAAAAGGUAUUUUAUUCAAAUAGAUAUAUAGCCCUAAAGGCAUUUAUAGGGAAAAUGUAUUUUUAUAUAUUUUAUUUUGAGGGGAAACUACUCCCAAAAGUUGUAUCAUCGCAGGACAUGAUUUUACAAAUUUUCUGGUUUUUAUUUAGACCAAUUUGGAGUUCAAACUCAAAAGAUAUCAAAGAAAUAAGAAAAGCAGAAAAAGAAAAGGCAAAAAGAAAAAAAAGGGGUAAACCGGACCGGCCCGGCCACUUUGGCCCGAACCGGCCCAGUCCGACCGCGCCCGACCGCGACACGCGCCGGCCCUGCCCGCCCGGCCGCCCCACGCGCGUGCCCGCACCC
rnacentral:lncRNA from 1 species